UGACUCCUUCCUGUUCAAGUGAGCACAGCACGAGCGAAGUUGACAUUUCGUGAAUGAUGCCAGUUCUGUGUGGAAUCAUACUUAUGUUUUGGUUAGUGGAUGAGUGCACAGCUUCCAAGAACUACUGCUGGUAUUUUGAAGGAGGCUACCCCAUAGGCCAUUUAAUUUCCCAGUUGUCUUGAAAGCACCAUAAAUCCAGAGAAUGCCAGACUUUGAUGCCAAAGUUUGAUGACAAAAUUUGCCCACGAAGGACCGCCGCGAC